rnacentral:rRNA from 1 species
UACGAAGGGGGCUAUCGUUGUUCGGAAUUACUGGGCGUAAAGGGCGCGUAGGCGGUCUUGUAAGUCAGAUGUGAAAGCCCCGGGCUCAACCCGGGAAUAGCAUUUGAUACUGCGAGGCUUGAGUCCGGGAGAGGAUGGCGGAAUUCCCAGUGUAGAGGUGAAAUUCGUAGAUAUUGGGAAGAACACCGGUGGCGAAGGCGGCCAUCUGGACCGGUACUGACGCUGAGGCGCGAAAGCGUGGGGAGAAAACUGG